GCUACUACCGAUUGAAUGGUUUAGCGAGAUGCUCGGAUCGGGCCCAGCUCGUGCGAAAGCAUGUGGCGGGACUGAGAAGAAGUUCAAGCUUGAUCAUUUAGAGGAAGUAAAAGUCGUAACAAGGUUUUCGUAGGUGAACCUGCAGAAGGAUCAAGAGAGGGAGAGAGCGGCGUAGGGGAAGAGAGUAUAGAUCGGGGGUCGCGGCAUCAUAUAAAAAAAAAAAAAAAACAAAGAUAAACAGGAGAAUCCAGCAUAUGAUAACGAACUGUACAAGAA
rnacentral:misc_RNA from 1 species